rnacentral:tRNA from 1 species
AAGAGAUUAGUUUAAAAAAAACUUUAAAAUGUCAAAUUAAAAUUACUUAAAAGUAUCUCUUU